rnacentral:rRNA from 1 species
CACGUAGGGGGCGAGCGUUGUCCGGAAUUACUGGGCGUAAAGGGCAGGCAGGCGGAUCCAUAAGUUUAUCGUUUAAGGCGUCGGCUUAACCGGCGUAGGGCGGUAGAUACUGUGGAUCUGGAAUGCGGUUGGGGAAGACAGAAUUCCUGGUGUAGCGGUGGAAUGCGCAGAGAUCAGGAGGAAUACCGAAGGCGAAGGCAGUCUUCCAAGCCGUUAUUGACGCUCAACUGCGAAGGUGUGGGUAUCAAACAGGAUUAGAUACCCCUGUAGUCCCUGA